rnacentral:rRNA from 3 species
ACGAUUGACGGAGCGAAGCGACGUCAAAGCGUUCAUUAAAGUCGAGUUGGCUUAGGGAUACGUUCGUUGGGUAGGGGAGCGUUCUGUAAGCCUGUGAAGGUGUGUCGUGAGGCAUGCUGGAGGUAUCAGAAGUGCGAAUGCUGACAUAAGUAACGAUAAAGCGGGUGAAAAGCCCGCUCGCCGGAAGACCAAGGGUUCCUGUCCAACGUUAAUCGGGGCAGGGUGAGUCGACCCCUAAGGCGAGGCCGAAAGGCGUAGUCGAUGGGAAACGGGUUAAUAUUCCCGUACUUGGUGUUACUGCGAAGGGGGGACGGAGAAGGCUAUGUUGGCCGGGCGACGGUUGUCCCGGUUUAAGCGUGUAGGUGUGUGUUCCAGGUAAAUCCGGUUCACUUUAACACUGAGGCGUGACGACGAGGCACUACGGUGCUGAAGCAACAAAUGCCCUGCUUCCAGGAAAAGCCUCUAAGCAUCAGGUAACACGAAAUCGUACCCCAAACCGACACAGGUGGUCAGGUAGAGAAUACCAAGGCGCUUGAGAGAACUCGGGUGAAGGAACUAGGCAAAAUGGUGCCGUAACUUCGGGAGAAGGCACGCUGACACGUAGGUGAAGUGAUUUACUCAUGGAGCUGAAGUCAGUCGAAGAUACCAGCUGGCUGCAACUGUUUAUUAAAAACACAGCACUGUGCAAACACGAAAGUGGACGUAUACGGUGUGACGCCUGCCCGGUGCCGGAAGGUUAAUUGAUGGGGUCAGCGUAAGCGAAGCUCCUGAUCGAAGCCCCGGUAAACGGCGGCCGUAACUAUAACGGUCCUAAGGUAGCGAAAUUCCUUGUCGGGUAAGUUCCGACCUGCACGAAUGGCGUAAUGAUGGCCAGGCUGUCUCCACCCGAGACUCAGUGAAAUUGAACUCGCUGUGAAGAUGCAGUGUACCCGCGGCAAGACGGAAAGACCCCGUGAACCUUUACUAUAGCUUGACACUGAACAUUGAGCCUUGAUGUGUAGGAUAGGUGGGAGGCUUUGAAGUGUGGACGCCAGUCUGCAUGGAGCCGACCUUGAAAUACCACCCUUUAAUGUUUGAUGUUCUAACGUGGACCCGUAAUCCGGGUUGCGGACAGUGUCUGGUGGGUAGUUUGACUGGGGCGGUCUCCUCCUAAAGAGUAACGGAGGAGCACGAAGGUUGGCUAAUCCUGGUCGGACAUCAGGAGGUUAGUGCAAUGGCAUAAGCCAGCUUGACUGCGAGCGUGACGGCGCGAGCAGGUGCGAAAGCAGGUCAUAGUGAUCCGGUGGUUCUGAAUGGAAGGGCCAUCGCUCAACGGAUAAAAGGUACUCCGGGGAUAACAGGCUGAUACCGCCCAAGAGUUCAUAUCGACGGCGGUGUUUGGCACCUCGAUGUCGGCUCAUCACAUCCUGGGGCUGAAGUAGGUCCCAAGGGUAUGGCUGUUCGCCAUUUAAAGUGGUACGCGAGCUGGGUUUAGAACGUCGUGAGACAGUUCGGUCCCUAUCUGCCGUGGGCGCUGGAGAACUGAGGGGGGCUGCUCCUAGUACGAGAGGACCGGAGUGGACGCAUCACUGGUGUUCGGGUUGUCAUGCCAAUGGCACUGCCCGGUAGCUAAAUGCGGAAGAGAUAAGUGCUGAAAGCAUCUAAGCACGAAACUUGCCCCGA